CCUAAAUCUGACCUCCUUAAUGAUAAUUUAAAUCAUUUUCUAAAGUGUUGAAUUCAACCAAGUCUACAGGUUCCCUGAUCACAGUAAGCACAGAGUUUGUCAUCAUCAAAAAGGGGGAAAUUGUUGGCCCAAGUUUCAUUUGAGUUUUGAAGAUUGACAAAUGAACUGAUAGAAGGACCUGGUCCAUUAUGUACUACACAGUUUGAA
rnacentral:lncRNA from 1 species